UCUCCUUGCCCUCAGCAUUAAAUUAUGAGAAUGGGACAACGAUCUGCAUGUGAAGUUAGUGUGUGUCUGGUACAAAAACACCAAACCAGAAAAAUGAAGUUAGAUGACAAGACUGAGUAAAAGAAAACACCUGGUACGGUCCCAGUCUGGGCCUGGUACGGUCCCAGUCUGGGCCUGGUACGGUCCCAGUCUGGGCCUGGUACCGUCCCGUCAGUUUGGUUCUCUCUCCUUUGACCGGGGGGGUCUAGAGAGACGGACAGACUUCAUGGAUGAGGGUUUGAAUCGGUGUUGAUGUGGACUCCUGGAUUUUAAGGUUGGAGCGAUUGCAGUGGAAGGAUGGGAAAUAGAUGGAUGAGGCAUGUUGGGUGUAACGGUUGGAUGUUGUUUACCAGGAGAAGUAGCCGGUCUAACCCAGUCUCAUUCCACUUUCCAUGUCUGUCAUUUUGAAGACGUUACAUUUCACAGAAGCAGUUCCUCUGAGCUGAGCGUCUAACGCCAACCCCGGCUGACUGGCCGUCAGAUCGUGGCGAGCUGAGCUAAUCAAUGAGGGUGUGAUUUAUAACGUUUGCUGAAAUCAGCAGAACAAGCUGCUUGGCGCCAUCAGGGGAUUCUGGCUGCAGCCUCCCCCUCACAGCCAGCCACUCGCAGCUUGUAAUUGGAUCUCUGUAUGAGGCUUCCAGGAAGUUUUCAUUUGGGCUUUACCCACAAUUCACAGCUCUCUCCUCAUAACCUACAUUACUAAUGGAGACAAAUGUUGCAUUUGAUCCUGGGAGAGUUGUCUAAUUGGAAGAGUAGGAGAGGAAACGGAGGCGCAAAAGAAAGCGUUCUGCUCAGGAAGUCAACUGAGAAAAACAAAAGAGCGCAAUUGGUGAUGGCGGGAUUGGAUAAAACGCACAUCUCACAGCGGCCGCCGACUUUCUCAUCUGCCACACAACAUCAGACUCGCCUCUCGUCAGCACGCCGCCGCCUUUGCUGCAUAUUGAGCUGCACAUUUCCAUGGAAGGUGUGAAGGCAGACGGAUAUGAACGCCGGUGAAGCCCAACCCACCCUGGAUCACUGCGAUCCCCUCAAAACUCUUCCAGCAGGAUUCCCAGGAAAAACUUUCUCAAAAUGUUGUCUCCAACCUUUGUGGGCCGUUUAAUGUCAGACAAUAUUUCAUUUAAACUUUUAUUUUCUACAUCUAAACAUGAGUCCACCGUCAGAACAGCUGUUUUAGCAGCAGCAUGGUAACAUUAAGACAGCUGGUUGCUGAAUAUCCUGCUUUGGAAGGAAGGCAGAGAUGCCCAGUUUAGUCUGUUUGUUAAAGUUUAGCGUUCUCUAUGCAUUUAUGAUCCUCUUGAUUGUAUGUUUACUGUAUUAUUAUUGGUAAAAGCCCAUUGAGACGACUGUUGAGAUAUACGAAUUGAAUUGAAUUGAUUUUUAAUAUUAUGGUCUGUGGGAACAACUGUCACAAUAAAUCCAAAUUUGUAGUAAAAGGUAUGGAGUCCUAUACUGUUCAUAAUUAAAUAAAUAAAUAUUUCAUUAAAUAAAUAAAUGUGACCUCAUGCAAAUACACAAUCAAC
ensembl:lncRNA